rnacentral:misc_RNA from 1 species
GAUGAAGAACGUAGCGAAAUGCGAUACGUAAUGUGAAUUGCAGAAUUCAGUGAAUCAUCGAAUCUUUGAACGCAUAUUGCGCUCUCUGGUAUUCCGGAGAGCAUGCUUGUUUGAGUAUCAGUAAACACCUCAACUUCCAUAUCUUUUUUGAAAUGGGAGUUGGACUUGAGUGAUCCCAACGCUUUUCCUCACCGAAAAGUGGCGGGUUACUUGAAAUGCAGGUGCAGCUGGACUUUUCUCUGAGCUAUAAGCAUAUCUAUAGUCUGCCUAAAAAACAGAUUAUUACCUUUGCUGCAGCUAACAUAAAGGAGAUUAGUUCUUGUGCUGACUGAUGCAGGAUUCACAAAGACAGGCUUCGGCCGACUUUGUAAACUCGAUCUCAAAUCAAGUAAGACUACCCGCUGAACUUAAGCAUAUCAAUAAGCGGAGGA